rnacentral:rRNA from 1 species
CCUACGGGAGGCUGCAGUGGGGAAUUUUGGACAAUGGGCGCAAGCCUGAUCCAGCUAUUCCGCGUGUGGGAAGACGGCCUUCGGGUUGUAAACCACUUUUGUAGCGAACGAAAAGCCUAUUGCUAAUACCGAUAGACGAUGACGGUACUCUAAGAAUAAGCACCGUCUAACUACGUGCCAGCAGCCGCGGUAAUACGUAGGGUGCGAGCGUUAAUCGGAUUUACUGGGCGUAAAGCGAUCGUAGGCGGUAUGUCAAGUCAAGGGUGAAAUCCCCGCGCUCAACGUGGGAACUGCCUUUGAAACUGGCAAACUGGAGUGUGUGGGAGGAUAGUGGAAUUCCAGGUGUAGGAGUGAAAUCCGUAGAUAUCUGGAGGAACAUCAGUGGCGAAGGCGACUAGCUGGAACAUAACUGACGCUGAGGAGCGAAAGCGUGGGUAGCGAACAGGAUUAGAUACCCGUGUAGUC